CGUUUUCUUAUUCGAUGGUGGAUUAUUGCUUUCUUAUUCGAUGGUGGAUUAUUGCUCUUUGCUUUUGAAAGUGCUGUGCAUCUCUCUAGUUCUCCAUUAGUGGGUUUUGGCUACUGCGGUGAAAUUUUUUAAGCGGAUUGUUCUACUUUCAUAAGCAGUUCUGAUUGGGUUUCAGUAGUGGCUUUGAUUGCAAGAGUCAAUAUUUUUGGUGGGUUAACAGGGGGCUGUUAAUUUUUGUGGCUGAUAGGAGAUUGUUUUUUUUGGAAUCUUGACCUGCGGCCUCUUCAAGUCUUUAGCAUCUGCAGUCAGCGUGGGUUCUGAGCAUUUAUCUAGAGCCUAUUUGCUUGGAUUUAGCCUUUGGAUCUUCAUUUGGAAUUUGAAGCAUAUGUGUUUGCUACGUUAGUUUGCCAUCAAUUAUUUGCAGAAUUUGAAACAUAUGUGCAUAUAUAUUUCAGUGGGGG
rnacentral:misc_RNA from 1 species